UCCUUCGGGGUAGGGUGAAAUUCCCAAUCGGCGGUGAUGAAGCAAUUCAAAGUCCGUGAGCGCAAGCUGAUUUGGUGCAAAUCCAAAACCGACAGUAACAGUCUGGAUGGGAGAAGGG
rnacentral:ncRNA from 1 species